rnacentral:rRNA from 1 species
CAGUCGCCGCGGUAAUACGAAGGGGGCUAGCGUUGCUCGGAAUGACUGGGCGUAAAGGGCGCGUAGGCGGCGAUCAAAGUCAGGCGUGAAAUUCCUGGGCUCAACCUGGGGGCUGCGCUUGAUACUUGGUUGCUUGAGUGGGGAAGAGGGUCGUGGAAUUCCCAGUGUAGAGGUGAAAUUCGUAGAUAUUGGGAAGAACACCGGUGGCGAAGGCGGCUACCUGGUCUUUGACUGACGCUGAGGCGCGAAAGCGUGGGGAGCAAACAGGAUUAGAUACCCCGGUAGUCCCUGUCUCUUAUAC